rnacentral:rRNA from 1 species
CCAAAUAUUAAGCCCGGCUGCUCUUGCCGCCGUCGCGGUGAUCGGUGGUGCCGCGUUUCCGCCUCAAUGGAUUAACGGUCUUAUGCUAGAAGUAACUCACGUUAAACCCCGAAACUUAACUCCGAAACUGACGGUAAUACUAUCUGUCUUGAAUACCGUGGAGGUGAGCGGAAUAUGUCAUGUAGCGGUGAAAUGCUUAGAUAUGACAUAGAACACCAAUUGCGAAGGCAGCUCGCUACACGGUCAUUGACGCUGAGGCACGAAAGCGUGGGGAUCAAACAGGAUUAGAUACCCUGGUAGUCCACGCCCUAAACGAUGAUUACUCGACAUCAGCGAUACACUGUUGGUGUCUAAGCUAACGCAUUAAGUAAUCCACCUGUGAAGUACGAUCGCAAGAUUGAAACUCAAAGGAAUUGGCGGGGGUCCGCACAAGCGGUGGAGCAUGUGGUUUAAUUC